rnacentral:sRNA from 12 species
AGGAGGAGAAAACAAAAUGAACGAAGUUCAUUUUCUGUAAAUAUUUUCGACGAAUUGCCAACCACAGAAUGGAGGGGUAUUACAAUUA